rnacentral:rRNA from 1 species
ACGAACGCUGGCGGCGUGCUUAACACAUGCCAGUCGAACGGAAAGGCCCUGCUUUUGUGGGGUGCUCGAGUGGCGAACGGGUGAGUAACACGUGAGUAACCUGCCCUUGACUUUGGGAUAACUUCAGGAAACUGGGGCUAAUACCGGAUAGGAGCUCCUGCUGCAUGGUGGGGGUUGGAAAGUUUCGGCGGUUGGGGAUGGACUCGCGGCUUAUCAGCUUGUUGGUGGGAUAGUGGCUUACCAAGGCUUUGACGGGUAGCCGGCCUGAGAGGGUGACCGGCCACAUUGGGACUGAGAUACGGCCCAGACUCCUACGGGAGGCAGCAGUGGGGAAUAUUGCACAAUGGGCGGAAGCCUGAUGCAGCAACGCCGCGUGCGGGAUGACGGCCUUCGGGUUGUAAACCGCUUCCGCCUGUGACGAAGCGUGAGUGACGGUAAUGGGUAAAGAAGCACCGGCUAACUACGUG